GGCAGCUGUCCCCAAUGUAUCCUAUAGGUGGUUUCUGGGGCCUCCACCCAGUGACCCUUGCCUGGACCAGCUCAAUUGGGUUUGUCUGGCCUCUCUUCCACUGAUCCUUUCACCAAAGAAAGCCACAUAAGCCAAGGAGCUCAAUCUUCAGGUGACAUCGCUCUGUGGAUCGUUACAGCAUGCAAACCCCUCCGCAUCGCUAAGCUGUGGGCUAAGCACUGCCGAUUGCCGAAAACUAGACUUCCAACGAGAUGGGGUUUGGAUGGGGUCUGGCGAUGCAGGAUCGUCUCCCGGAGCUGCAUUACCGUGUCCCUAAGAUGUUCGUCUUGGGUACUCGUGCCCUGCAUGGUACUGGGAGGCACCGCGCAGUUUGGAUCCGCACCGACCG